AGGAAGAACUGGUCUUCUUGGAAGAGGGAUGAUCAUAAGAAAUGAAUUUUAAUGUUUGGAAUAUCAAAGACAUGCUUAGUAUUCCCUCAGGCUCUGGGGUACGUGUUAUGUGGUGCACAGAGUUAGUCACUGCUGCAGAUACUGGCAUGC